UUUAGGUUGGGGUGACCGCGGAGUAUAAGAUAUCCUCCAUGAAAAAAAGCUAACUGCCCUUAUUAGAGAAAGACACUUCCAAAAAAUAAUAAAUUAAUUUUAAAUGAUCCGACAUUCGAUCAACGAACCAAGUUACCCUGGGGAUAACAGCGCAAUCCGUCCCGAGAGCCCCUAUCGACAGGCGGGUUUACGACCUCGAUGUUGGAUCAGGGUAUCCUAGUGGUGCAGCAGCUACUA
rnacentral:rRNA from 1 species